rnacentral:rRNA from 1 species
GACGAACGCUGGCGGCGUGCUUAACACAUGCAAGUCGAACGGAAAGGCCCUGCUUUUGUGGGGUGCUCGAGUGGCGAACGGGUGAGUAACACGUGAGUAACCUGCCCUUGACUUUGGGAUAACUUCAGGAAACUGGGGCUAAUACCGGAUAGGAGCUCCUGCUGCAUGGUGGGGGUUGGAAAGUUUCGGCGGUUGGGGAUGGACUCGCGGCUUAUCAGCUUGUUGGUGGGGUAGUGGCUUACCAAGGCUUUGACGGGUAGCCGGCCUGCGAGGGUGACCGGCCACAUUGGGACUGAGAUACGGCGCAGACUCCUACGGGAGGCAGCGGUGGGGAAUAUUACACAAUGGGCUGAAGCCUGAUGCAGCAACGCCGCGUGCGGGAUGACGGCCUUCGGGUUGUAAACCGCUUUCGCCUGUGACGAAGCGUGAGUGACGGUAAUGGGUAAAGAAGCACCGGCUAACUACGUG